CUAGGUGGUAAUGCCUUCUUUUCAACUAUGGACUUAACCUCAGGAUACUACAAUGUGGAAGUGCAUGAGGAGGACAGAAAAUAUACAGCUUUUUCAUCACCGUUCGGAUUGUACGAGUACAAUAGGAUGCCGCAGGGCCUUUGUAAUAGUCCGGCAACGUUCAUGAGGAUGAUGUUAAGCAUCUUUGGCGACCAGAACUUUAUGAGUCUAUUAUGCUAUCUGGAUGAUGUUUUAGUGUUCGCCUCUAAUGAAAAGCUGGCCCUUGAACGUUUGCAAAUGGUGUUUGAUAGACUCAAGUCCCACAACCUCAAACUCGCACCAAAGAAAUGCAACUUCCUGCGACGUUCGGUUAAGUUCCUCGGUCAUAUUGUUAGUGCCGAUGGAAUCCAGUCUGACCAUGAUAAAGUUGCUGCCAUAACUUCCUUAAAAGAGUCAGACCUUAUGGAGGAAGGCACCUCAGUCCCCUCGCAGCGUAAAGUCCGCUCCUUUCUUGGUAUGGUUGUAUACUACCAGCAGUUUAUUGAGAACUGUUCCGCCAUAGCCAAGCCGCUGUUCCGUCUCACGUCAGGGUCCAAAGGUCCACGGGGAGCUGGUAGAAAACGGCACCAGACUCGUAAAAAGCUAAGAACAGAGGACUGGACUGAUGAAUGUAAGCUGGCUUUUACAAAACUGAAACAGGCCUUGUUAGACCAAGUUAUUCUGGCCCAUCCAAACUUUAACGACCACUUUUUGCUCUCAGUUGACGCCUCUACAGAUGGGUUAGGUGCUGUCUUGUCGCAAGUUCCUCCUGGUGGCACAACAGCAAGGCCAAUCGCGUUCGCAAGUAAAUCCCUCACUUAUGCUCAGUCAAAGUAUCCUGCGCACAGAUUAGAGUUUUUCGCAUUAAAGUGGGCGGUGUGCGAUAAAUUCCACCACUGGUUGAGAGGUCAUCGGUUUACCGUGUGGACGGACAAUAAUCCGUUGACAUACAUUUUGUCCAAAGCUCGUCUAGAUGCAUGUGAGCAGCGGUGGAUUGCUAAACUUGCGCCUUUUCAGUUCGAUAUCAAAUACAUCCCAGGUCCCCGAAAUGUAGUCGCCGACGCCUUAAGCAGAGAGCCGUUCGUGCAGUCCAGUGCAUCCCACCGUUUAACAAG
rnacentral:lncRNA from 1 species